rnacentral:tRNA from 1 species
UAUGUAAUAGUAUAAGUGUAUUUGUGAUUUUGGAUCACAAGGUGUAAUUUAGUUGCUUACAUAA